rnacentral:lncRNA from 1 species
GAAGAAACUCUGAUUCAUGCCAUGAAAGACUGUCCUAAGGCGCGUGAAAUCCUUGUUGCUGGGGGUUUAAAUAACAGUCUGCUCGACAAGAACUACAAUAAUUGUAUCGACUGGCUUGAGGAUGUUUUUCGGGAGCUUGACAAAAAAGCUACUGCUGAUUUUGUAACUCUGCUUUGGAACAGUUGGAAUGACAGGAAUAAUAUGGUGUUUAAAGAGAAGAUGGAUGCUGCGAAAAUGAUUUGGGAAAGGGCGCAAAUGUUAAGCAAAGAUUUCAGAAUUUUCAAUCUUACUGAGCCUGCGGUCUUUUCAAAUAAUCCGGUGAAUAAGAAUUGGAAAAAACCCCUGUUGGUAGUAUUAAAGUUAAUGUGGAUGCUACUGUUUUAAAUAGGUACAGAGGAGUGGGACCGGUCGCGAGAGAUCACGAUGGAUUUGUGAUAGGGGGCUGCUAUAAUUUCAAGGAAAAGGCUAUGGAUGUUAUAUGGGCAGAGUUGGAUGCGUUUAAAGAAGGUCUAAAGCUGGCUAAACGGUUAAAGGUUGGCAGAUUAAUUGUGGAGUCAGACAGUGCAACGCUGGUCAACGCGGUCAAAAAAAGAAGGAUAGAUAUUUCUAUUUUUGGCCAGUGCGUUAAAAAAGAAUGUGACGCAUUUAGCAAAUUUGAAUCGGUCUAAGUAACUUGGAUUAAUCAUAAUAGCAACUACGCAGCAGAUUCUUUGUGUAAAUUAGCUAUUAGGAAUAAAAAUGAUUUGUAUUUCGAUAUGGAGUAUCCGUUGAAUAUCCAUAACAUUAUUAUUAAUGAUGCUAUUAAUUGAGUUUUGACCUUUUGGGUCGCUUUUGUUCAAAAAAAAAGAAUGUCGCCUGGUAGCGUUUGUGUGUUUGCCUUAUUCGCUAUGAAUAUUAUGGCAGUUUUGAGGGCUAGAUUGUGUGUUUUCAUUUUGCUGUAGUUUCUUUGUUUCCUUGAUUCCUGUUCUCUCAAUGGUUAGCCUACCUCGAUUGCGUUCGGUGUCAGACGGUGUUGUGAUUGCUGGAAAAGACGUUUAUGUGCAGGGCUCGUCAGUCGGUACCUGCGGUGUUCGGUUGUUUCUUUCACCUUUUUUGAACUUUCUUCUUUUACCCGGUGGAGUCUGACUUUCCUUCAUGUGGUUUUUUUGUUGUUUGCAUGGCUUUGCAUGUUUUUCUUGUUGCUUUUGUGAGAUAGGUUUGGUGGCCUCUGUGGCCCCCACGGUGGUUUUCUUUUUUCUUUUUGUUUUCUUUUUCUCUUUCCUUUCAAUACGUCUUUUUUACGCUGCUUUGAGUUGUUGUUUUUUUUAGUUUUUUUAGUUUUUUCUCUUUCUUUUCGAUUGGUUGCUUGCUUUCUUGCACGCAAACUUUGUUUUCGUCUUUUGUUACUCUUGUUUUUGUGUUUUUCUGUAUUUUUGUUUGGAAAUUUUUUCUUCAGUUCCCUGAUCUUUCAUCCUGUUUCCCGCUACGUGAGUUAGACUUGUAAUCUUGCUCCUCAGGUUUGUUUCUUUCUAUUUUUCUCGUUCCCUGGAGUUUUCUUGGGGCCUGACGUUGCUUGCGGUGUGGUGUUUUUUGAUUUCUCACCCUGUGUUGAGGGUUUUUGGGUUUUGGUGUGUAUCUUCCCCCGUUUUCCUUUGAGUUUUUGUCUUGGAAGAUUCUUGAGGUCAUCUUUUGAUAGAAAGAUCGGACUUUGACGUCAAAUCAAUGACGGAGGAGAUAAAUGACCUCUUGGAAAGGUUAAAAUUUUCAGAAGAGGAGUCCACACAAGUUAUUAGUAAAAAUGAUGUUUAAAAUGCGCGGGGUUUUGAAUCUAGGGCAGUUGGCAAGAUAAUAGCGACAGAGACUCCGAAUACGGAGGCUAUGUAUAGGGUUUUCAAGUUGCUGUGGUACACCAAAGAAGAAGUGGAUUUUUUCGCGUUAAAGGAAGGGGUGGUGAUUGUAAAGUUCAGGUGUCAGGAGGACCGUAGCCGCAUCUUAAACCUCACACCUUUGCUGUUUGAUAGGUGCUUAUUCUCAAUGCUACCGUUUGAGAAAGGAAAAGGCUUUGACUCGUACAAGUUUUGGUGGUCACCUUUCUGGCUUAGGAUCUAUAACAUCCCAUUAGAACUGUUGGAUUGCUAGAUGGUUUUGGAUGUUGGAAAUGCUUUGGGCGAACUGGUGGCAAUCGACUGGAGGGAUCGUAAUAGAGGGUGGACUGAAUUUGUCAGUAUCAAAGUCAAGAUAAAUGUCUUAAAACCUCUAAGAAGAGUGGUGAAAUUGUUGGAUAGAGAAGGGACGGAAGUGAUAGGGGUGAUAAAGUAUGAAAGGCUUCCGAAUUUUUGCUAUGUUUACGGGUUGAUAGGACAUUCGAGCAAGAUAUGUAAGCAUAAUAAGGAGGUUUCAGAACUAAAUGAGUCAAACCUACAGUAUGGUAGUUGGAUGAGGGCUCCGCUUGUUAAUCCAAUCCAAGAUAGAAAUAUUAGAAGGAAUGGGGUGGAACUAAUGAAAUCAAAGGAUCAAAUGAAUGCUGAUAAAGAGGGGAGCCAGUCGAACUCGAGAGGGGAGAGUGAGUAGAUGGGAUAGAAAGGAAAGGAAAGGCUUGGGGAAGAGGAGUCAAUGUCUACUUCCUCUGUGGAAAAACAGAGCCAUAAAGCUAUGAGGGACGGAUUGGGACGUUUUAAGAGUAAACGAAGGAGGAAAAGGGGCUUGGAGGGAGAAAAUGGGGAGGAAAGCCUGGCAAAGUUGGUUAAAAGGAGGCUGUUAGAAAACGUUUCACCUUUCAAGGCGGUGGCUGGAGACCAGCCCCGCCAAGAGCAAUGAAAAUCUUUAGUUGGAACUGUCGGAGGGUUGGAAACCCCGCGACAGUUCGUGAGUUAAAGCAACUUCUCGUUGCGAAUGCUCAUGAUAUUGUAUUCUUGUGUGAAACAAAAAUCCACUCUAACGAGUUUUCUCACAUUCGGGCCAUGUGUAGGAUGGAGGGGUGCUUAGCUAUAAGCUCAGAAAGAAAGAGUGGGGGCAUGGUGCUGAUGUGGAGGGAAGGAGUGAGAGUCACAAUCCAGAAUUACUCAAGAUGUCACAUUGAUUCGGUGGUCUGGAUAGAGGACGGGGAGAAAUUUAGGUUCACUGGCUUUUAUGGGCAAUCGGAGCCAAGUUUAAGACACCAGGCGUGGGAUAUGCUGAGAAGAGUUAAGAGCACGGUCAAUGAAGGCUGGAUCGUGAGAGGUGAUUUUAAUGCCAUCUUGAAUGACUCGGAGAAAAAAGGGGGUCGUAGAAAACCUAGGGCUUUGAUGGACGAGUUUGGAGAUAUUUUGGAGGAGUUAUGUUUGACGGAUGUGAAAACAGGUAAUGGCUGGUUCACUUGGACAAAUAAUAGAGAUGGAAACAGACUGGUAAAAGAAAGGCUGGAUAGAUUUGUUAUUUCGAAUGUAAUCAUGGAGAGAAUGCCGUUACUUGCAUCCUAUGUUGUGCGCCAAUCCAAAUCCGACCAUGAAGCCAUCUUAAUGGGCUUGCACGGAAGUAGGCCAAAAGUGAAGGGUAACGACCCGAGGGUUUGUUUUAGGUAUGACCGUUGUUGGGCUAAGGAGCGGGAGGCUAGGGAUAUUAUUUCUAACAUUUGGUCCAACGAGGAGACAAACUUGCUGGAAAAAAUGGAUCUGAUCCGGGAGAGGUUGGGACCUUGGCAAUAUCAACGUUAUAAAAGGAUGAAGCAGAAAAUUAAAAGCCUGGAGAAGGAUAUCGGUUGACUCAUGGAUGGGCACAUUAACGAGAGAUCUACAAACUUGCUUAAGGAAACCCGGUGCAAGCUGGGCCAGUUAUAUGAUACGGAAGAAAAGUAUUGGGGGACUAGGUUGAGAUCGCAGUGGUUCAGGGAAGGGGACAGAAAUACGCGUUAUUUUCACGUGCGGGCUUCGGGCCGCCGUAAGAAAAACAACAUUGAUAGGAUUAAAGAUGCGUAUGGAAAUUGGCACAUUGAAAAUAAGGAGAUCUGCCAUAUUGCGUGGGAUUAUUUCAAUGAGUUGUUUAAGACAUCUAUUGACUCGUUGGAUGAGAGUGACGUGCAUGUUAUUCCCGAGUGCAUUAACGAUGACAUGAAUAGGAGGCUGACAGAGGAGUUCUCAAAAGAGGAAAUUUUGAGGGCUUUCAAUCAGAUGGACCCCCGUAAGGUUCCUGGGAUUGGUGGGCUGUUGGGGAGUUUUUACAAAGAGCAUUGGACUACGGUGGGCGAGGAGGUUCUGCGUCUGUGCCAAGAUAUUCUUCAUGGCCACAGAAGCAUUGAGUGUAUAAAUGAAACGCUAAUUGUGUUGAUCCCUAAAAUAAAAAAUCCAUGUGUUAUGGCUAACUUUCGGCCUAUUAGUCUGUGCAGGGUUAUAUACAAGAUUGUUUCAAAGGCUCUCGCUAAUAGGCUUAAAGAGGUUCUGCCCCUGUGCAUCAGCCAGAAUCAAAGUGCCUUUGUCCCCAACAGAAUGAUCCAUGACAACAUCUUUGUGGCUCAUGAGCUCAUGCACUAUCUCGGUAGCUCCAAGAAUGGUCUUAACAAGGGAUGUGUGGUCAAGCUCGAUAUGAGCAAAGCCUACGACCGUGUGGAUUGGAGUUUCCUGCAGAGAGUGUUGAUUAAAAUGGGUUUUUCUAAUGUAUAGGUUAACAAAAUCAUGGAGUGUGUGUGCUCUGUUCGUUACAGAGUUAAAUGCAAUUCCAAUAUUUCUAAUAUCAUUUUUCCGGAAAGAGGACUCCGGCAAGGGGACCCUUUAUCCCUGUACUUAUUUCUUUUCUGUAUGGAAGCCUUGUCUCGCAUGUUGCUCCAUGCCCAAGAGACAAAUAAGAUUAAGGGUAUCCGGGUUAGCAAGGACGGCCCGAGAAUCAACCACCUUGCUGAUGAUGCUUUAUUGUUUGUCAGGAAUAAACAGAGCGAGGUGGAGGCUAUCACUAAGAUCAUUGAGUCUUUUGAAAAAAUGUCUGGCCAAAAUAUUAACAUGGAGAAGUCAAUGAUUUAUUUCAGUCCCAGUACCCCCGGUCCUCAACGCUUAAGUUUAAGUAGUAUGCUUAAGGUGAAGGUGGUGAAUAACCUGGAUGCGUAUCUGGGGCUGCCCAUUCUGAUUAGCAAAAGGAUGUCUGGCCAAAAUAUUAACAUGGAGAAGUCGAUGAUUUAUUUCAGUCCCAGUACCCCCGGUCCAAAAACGCUUAAGUUUAAGUAGUAUGCUUAAGGUGAAGGUGGUGAAUAACCUGGACGCGUAUCUGGGGCUACCCAUUCUGAUUAGCAAAAAGAAGUCAACGGCUUUUCAGGGUAUCUUAGAUCGAAUGGCCAACAGAAUAAAUAGCUGGUUAAAGAGGUUACUAUCGUACGGUGGCAAAGAGGUCUUUAUCAAGUCUGUCCUACAGUCGAUUCCUACUUAUGCUUUUUCGGUGUUCUUUGUUCCCGAGGGCAUCCUUAAGAAGAUCCAAACUAUGAUAAGCCACAUGUGGUGGGGUGGCGGGGAAAAGUCUAGAGGGUGGUAUUGUCUGUCUUAGGAUCGGGUUUGCUUCUCGAAAGGUAUAGGGGCCUAGGUUUCAGGGAUCUUAGGCGGUUCAAUGUGGCUUUAUUAGGUAGACAAGUGUGGAAGCUGUCUAGUUGCAAAGAUACAUUAUGUUUCAGAGUUUUGAGUGUGAAAUAUUUCCCGGAUGGUAAUGUAUUUUGCCCCAAGAGAGUUGACAAGCCAUCUUUUAUGUGGAAGCGUAUUGCCAAGGUCGCUAGUUUACUGUACGAGGGUUUCGGGUGGAAUGUGGGCAACGGCAGAAGGAUAAAUAUACGUCAGGAGAACUGGGGUGUUAAAGGGCUCUCUGGUGACUCUAUUCGUCUGAACAGAAAGGAGGUGCCCGGGACUAAGGUUUGUGAGCUUAUUGAUGAAACUAAUGAUGGUUGGAUGGAGCAGAGAGUUAUGGAGAUCUACGGUGAUUACAUGGGGGACCAAAUCUACAAAAUCCCCAUUCUUUAUAAUGGUCCUGACGAUUACCGUAUAUGGUUUCAUAGUCCUCUGAGGUCUUACUCCACUAAAUCUGCGUAUUCUUGGAUGACUCUUAAGCACGUGGGCUUUGGUCCCCAUCGGUUCUUUUGGAGGCUUGUCUGGAAUCUGCAUACCUUGCCAAAGAUUAAGAUUUUUUGCUGGCGUAUUGGCCAUGACAUUCUGCCUACAUAUGAAAAUAUCUCUAAAAUCAGGAAGGAGUUCAGUUGUUUAUGCCUGAGAUGUGGGAGCGAGGAGGAGACCCUCAUGCAUGCGUUGAAAGAUUGUCCGAGAGCUAAGGCGGUCUUGAUUCACGGGGGUUUUGAUAAUGCUCUUUUGAAUGGCAGUUACUGGAGGUGAGUGGACUGGAUAGAAGAUGUGGCCCGUUCGUUGGACAAGAAGGCUCUUUUGGAUUUUGUUACGGUACUCUGGAAUAUUUGGAAUAGUAGGAACAAUAAAGUGUUUAGAAAUACGGAGGAAGAUGCAAAGGCAACUUAGGAUAGAGCUGCUACGUUGAAUAGGGAUUUUUGCAUCUUUAACUUUAUGGAGAGACCGAUGAUUCCCAAGCCUGUCGAGGAGAAAGGGUGGCAAAAACCUAGACCUAGGGUGGUUAAAAUAAACUUUGAUGCUGCGGUUGCUAGGAGAAGGAUGAACUUCGGGAUUGUGGUCAGGGAUCAUGAUGGCUUUGUGCUUAGGGGGCGCGCGAGUGUUUUGGAGAAUAACGUUGGUGCUGAAUGGGCCGAGCUGCAGGCGUUGGCUGAAAGCUUGGAGCUGGCGCGGGAGAAAAGAUGGCUCAAGUUGGAGCUGGAAUCUGAUUGUGUGAAUCUAGUAAAUCAACUAAAAAGGCGUGCGUUGACUUUUCAACCUAUGGCUUAUGCAUUCGGCAGAUUCUAAAUUCUUUUGAUUGUUUUUAUCGUUGUAUGGACCCCCCAAUGUUGUAAUAAAUAAGCAGACAAACUUUGUAAAUGGGCCUUUAAAAACAAUUGUACUAAGGCUUUUGACAUGGACUAUCCGAUUGAGAUCCAUGAUGUAAUUUUGAAAGAUGCUAUUAAUUGAGUUUUUUGACCUUCGGGUCUUUCCAUAAAAAAAAAAGCAUGUCGCCUGGUAGCAAGUCGCCUGGUAGCGAGUAGCACGCGUUUUAUGAUUUUUUCUCCAAGAUUUGGACGAUAUCGGUUCUUGAUUUUUUGUUUGUGUGUCUGCCUUAUUCGUUGAAUAUUAUGGCAGUAAAGAGGGUUUGAUUGUGUUGUUCAUGUUUUGUUGUAGUUUCUAUGUUCAUUGUUUCCUGUUCUUUUGGAAGUACGCCUGAUUUGAUUGUGAUUGGCGGCAGACGGUGUUUAAUCACUGGACAAGACGUUUGUGUGCAGGUCUCGUCAGUCGGUUCUUGCGGUGCUUUUUGGAUUUGGUGGCCUAUGUGGAACCCACGGUGGAAUGAUUUAUGUUUAUUUUUUUGUAUGGUCGUACAGUGGGUGGCCUCUGUUUUGUGUCUGCGGGGCCCACGGUGGUCUGAGUUUUUUUGGUUUUCUUGUUGUCUUUCCUUACGUUUCUUUGGCGCCAUCUCUAGAUGAAAAAAGGGUUUAUUAAAUUCUACGUUCUUUUCUGCCGAUUUUCUUGCAUGCAGGGUUUUGGGGACGCACGUCCUUGAUCUGAUGGAAAUCUCGGUUUGGUAUGUCUCGUCCACCUCAUCAUGGGGAAUUUCUUUGUGAUUCUUGCUGGUUUUUUCUAUUUUCCCGGCAAUUUUCGCUUUUCGUUUAUCUGUUCUUUGAUAGGAAAAUCUUGUUUCCCAUUUGUUUCUAUUUUGUUUUUUUGGUUUUUGUCUUGUUUCUGAGUUUUCGUGAGUUUGUCCGGUUCAGUUGGUUUUGUUUGAUUUAGGGUUUUCUUUUUGGUGGUCUCUGGUGGUAUGACCAAAAAACGAGUUGAAAAUAUCGAUGGGCAAAAUGAACGAGCUCCUGGAGAGGCCAAAUUUCUCGGAAGAAGAGUCUAUUGAGAGUGCACCACCUCUUUAAGGCAGUGUUCGAUGACCAGACCCACCAAGAGCCAUGAGGAUUCUUUGUUGGAACUGUCGAGGGAUUGGAUACCCUGCGACAGUUCGUGAAUUGAAGCAACUGCUUGUUGCUAAUGCCCCUGAUGUCAUCUUUCUGUGUGAAACUAAAAUCUAUUCUAAUGAUUUCUCCCGUAUCCGAUCUAUGUGCAGGAUGGAAGGUUGUAUGUCAGUUAAUUUGGAAGGUAAAAGUAGUGGUCUCGCUUUGCUGUGGAGGGAUGGAAUCACUGUUGAGGUGAAAAAUUUCUCCAACUAUCAUAUUGAUUCCCUUGUUUCGUUGGAAGAAGGAAUGGUGGUCCGGUCUACAGGUUUCUAUGGCCAAGCUGACCAAAACUCGAGGAACUUGUCGUGCGACAUGUUAAGGAGGGUUAAGAGAACGGUCAAGGAGGGAUGGAUUGUGGGGGGUGAUUUCAAUGCUAUCCUUAAUAAUGCGGUGAAGGAUGGGGGAUGCAGGAAGUCAAGGAGGUCCAUGGAUGAGUUUAGGGAUAUUUUGGAUGAGCUGGCGUUGGUCGAUGUUAAGCCUACCAAUGGCUGGUUCACGUGGUCUAAUAACAGAGAGGGUCCCAACCUGGUUAAGGAGAGGUUGGAUAGGUUUCUUAUUUCGGAGGAUAUGAUUGAUAAAUUGCCCUUUGUUAAUACUAGAGUGGUGCGCCAAUCUAAGUCUGACCAUGAGGCUAUUUUACUCAACACGGUUGGUAACAAAUCGGAGGAGGAGAGGUGCAACCAUAGUUUAUGGUUUAAGUAUAAUGUUUGUUGGCCAAAGAGCAUGAAGCUAGGGAUAUUAUUAAUCGUAUUUGGGCUGAUAAAAAUAGCGACAUGUUGAACAAAAUGGAUAACAUUCAAAAGGAGCUUGGUCCGUGGCAAUAUAAAAGGUACAAAAGAAUGAAAUAUAAAAUCAAUAAGCUAGAGAAGAAGAUUGGUAAGAUUAUGGAUAGGCCUAUUACUGUGGAAUCGUCGAACCUCCUGAAGACUACCUAAGACCAGCUGGGCUAGUGGUAUGAUGCGGAAGAAAAAUACUGGGCACAAAGGGCCCGAAAUCAGUGGCUUAGAGAAGGUGAUGGGAAUACCCGUUAUUUCCAUGUGCAGGCUACGGGGUGAAAGAAGAAAAAUACGAUUGAAAAGCUUAAGGACAUGUAUGGCACGUGUCUUGAGGACAAGAAGGAUAUAUGCAAUAUUGUUUGGAGUUAUUUCCAUAACCUGUUCAAAACCUCUAUCAGACUUGACGAGGAAGUCAACCUAAACUUUGUUCCUGGGUGUAUUACUGACAACAUGAACUGCUUCUUAAACAACGAGUUCAUGGAUGAGGAGAUUAUGGCGGUUUUCAAGAAAAUGGAUCCCCGAAAAGCUCUAGGGAUUGAUGGUCUGUCUGGUAGUUUCUUCAAAGAGCAUUGGUCAACUGUUGGCAGUGAUGUUCUUAGGAUGUGCCGAGAUAUCCUUCAUGGAAAGAAAAACAUGGACUGUUUCAAUGAUACCCUAAUGGUCAUGAUCCUUAAGAUUAAAAACCCCUGUGAGAUGACUAACUUCCGCCCGAUAAGCUUAUGCAGGGUCAUUUAUAAGAUCAUCUCCAAAGCUAUGGCUAAUCGUCUGAAAGUUGUGCUUCCCCAUUGUAUCAGCCAAAACCAAAGCGCUUUUGUCCCCGGCCCGAUGAUCUACGACAACGUCCUGGUUGCUCAUAAGCUUAUGCGCUACCUCCGUAGCUCUAAAAAUAGCCCAAACAAAGGCUGUGUGCUAAAGCUCGAUAUGAGCAAAGCAUAUGACCAUGUGGAGUGGAGCUUCCUUGAAAAAGUGAUGAUAAAAAUAGGUUUCUCUAGAGAUUGGGUUAAAAAAUUAUGAAUUGUGUUUGUACUGUGCGGUAUAGAGUCAAAUGCAAUAUGAACCUCACCGAUAUCAUUAUCCCGGAAAGGGGUCUUCGCCAAGGAGAUCCCUUAUCACCUUACUUAUUUCUCUUCUGUAUGGAUGUCUUUUCCCGCAUGUUGCUUAGGGCACAAGAGAAUAAUAAAAUUAAGGGCAUCCGUGCGAGUAAGGAUGGCCCCAGGAUUAACCACCUUUUCUUUGCUGACGAUGCUCUUUUGUUUACCAACGCAGCGAAGUGGAAACCUUCAUGAGAAUCUUGAGCAAUUUUACUAGGAUGUCGGGCCAAAGCAUAAAUUUGGAAAAGUUAAUGGUGUAUUUUAGCCCUAACACUCUUGUACCUCAACGAGCGGCCUUGGGGGUUUACUCAAUAUGAAAGUGGUGGAAAAGCUCGACGGUUACCUUAGCCUUCCCAGUCCUGUGGCUAAGAAAAGAUCAAGUAUUUUUCAAAACAUCCUGGAUCGGAUUGCGUGCAGAAUCAACAGCUGGUCAAAGCGCCUAUUGUCAAAUGGUGGCAAGGAGGUUUUCAUUAAGUCUAUUAUCCAAGCGAUCCCUGCUUAUGCUUUCUCAGUCUUUAUGGCUCCUAAGGGGGUGAUCGAGGAGAUACAAUCCAUGAUAAGUCGGGUUUGGUAGGGAGGUGGGGAGAGGAAAAGGGGCUAGAGCAUACUGUCUUAGGAUCGGCUGUGUCACUCGAAAGGCAUGGUGGACUUGGCUUUAGGGAGUUACGGCUGUUCAACGUUGCUCUUUAGGGAUACCCUAUGCUAUAAAGUCUUGAGUGCUAAAUACUUUCCUGAUGGUGAUGUUUUCCACCCAAAAAGUAUGGACAAACCCUUCUAUACGUGGCAGAGUAUAGCUAAGGCCGCCAGUGUCCUCUACGAGGGAUUCGAUUGGACUAUUGGGAAUGGUAGAAGUAUUAAAAUGUGGCAUGAUAAUUGGGGAUUUGAAGGUCUGUUGGGUAACUCCAUUAGCCUUUACAAACGUCUGGUGAAAGAGGUGAAAGUCUGUGAUUUGCUCAAUGAAAGAAAGGAUAGCUGGGAUAAGAAAAGGGUUUUGGAAGUCUAUGGCGAAAAUAUAGGGGACCAAAUUUUCAAUAUUCCUAUGCUCCAUAAUGGUCCGGAAGACCAACGUAUUUUGUUCCAUAACCCUCACGGUGUGUUUUCUUCAAAAUUUGCUUAUUCGUGGCUGAUUCUUAAAUAGGUUGGCUUUGGUCCUCAUAGGAUUUUAUGGAGAAUCAUUUGGAAACUAAAAACCCUCCCGAAAAUCCGUAUUUUUUGUUGGAGGCUUGGCCAUAAUAUAUUGCCUACGUAUGAUAAAAUUUCCAGCAUCCGUAUUGGCUUUGACUAUAUUUGUCAGCGACGUGGUAAAGAGAGGGAAACUCUUAUUCACGCAAUGAAGGACUGCCCGAAGGCUCGUGCUGUGUUGGAAUUUGGUGGACUAAAUAACAAGUUCCUGGGCGGGAGGUUUUCCAGGUGCAUUGACUGGAUUGAAGAUGUUGCGCGAGAGUCGGAUAACAAGGCAGUUUCUGACUUCAUCACUAUCCUUUGGAACAUCUGGAACAAUAGAAACAAUCGUAUUUUCAGGGGGGUUGAAAAUGAUGCAAGAGUAACCUUGGAGAGAGCUGCGGCCUUGAGUAGGGAUUUCCAGAUUUUUAACCUGGUUGAAGACCCGAUGCUGCCAAGGAAAGCUGUGACAAAAGCCUAGUAGAAACCGCAUCAAGGGGUGUUAAAGAUUAAUUUUGGAUGCCUCUGUUCAUGGGAAGAAAGUGCACUAUGGGUUGGAUGCCAGGGAUGCUGACGGUUUUAUCCAUGAUGGGCGGAUGGGUUUUGUGGAUAAAGAAAAGCUGAUCGAGUGGGCUGAACUGUAGGCUAUGGAAGAAAGCUUAAAAGUUGCCAAGUCAAACAAUUGGAAAACCUGGAGCUUGAGUCAAAUUGUGCCAGUCUUGUUAAUCGGUUCAAUAAAAGGAACAAUGACUUGACUUUGUUGGGCCACCGCAUGCGGUAAAUCUUUAGGCAGUCCCAUUUUUUUAGCCUUUUUAAUUUUAGAUGGGCCCCUCGGUGUUGUAAUAAAGUUGCCGACUGUCAAUGUAAUUGGGCCAAAGCUAACAAUUGUAUUGUGGUUUUUAACAUGGAUUAUCCUAAGGAAAGCCAUGAAUUUGUUUUAAAUGAUGCUAUAAAUUGAGGUUGACCUCUGGGUCUUUUUUUUCAAAAAAAAAAGAAUGUCUCCUGGUAGCGCAUUGACCAAGUUUCUUUAGCUCUUUAGGGGGGAGGUGAUAUUGAGUGAGCAUGGGUUGUCCAGGGCACUGCCCACACCCACCGUAUGCCCGGACGUCGGUGCCCCCCACCGCUGGUUAGGUUCCCAGCGGUGCUCCGGUGGUGCUCCGGCGAACCAUCCCAACAGUGCUCCGGUAAGCCAUUCUGGCAGCAUAAGCCCUUGGUCGUGUGGGAGCCUCGAGCACCAUCGGCACCUUGGUGCUACACUGUGCGGGAGCCUCGAACACCAUCGGCAAUGUAGGCCCUUAGUCAUGCGAGAGCCUCGGGCACCAUCGACACCUAGGUGCUUGGAUGUGUGGGAGCCUCGGACACAAUCGGUAAACUAGGCCCUUGGUCGUGCAGGAGCCUCGGGCACCAUCGGCAACCUAGGCCCUUGGUCGUGUGAGAGCUUCGGGCACCAUCAGGACCAGGGGGCUCGAAUGUGCGGGAGUAUCGGACACCAUCGGCAACCUAGGCCCUUGGUCGUGCGAGAGCCUUGGGCACCAUCGGCACCUAGAUGCUCGGAUGUGCGGAAGCCUCGGAGACCAUCGGCAAACUAAGCCCUUGGUCAUGCGAGAGCCUUGGGCACCAUCGGCACCUCGGUGCUUGGAUGUGCAAGAGCCUCAGGCACCAUCGGCAACCUAUGCCCUUGGUUGUGCGGGAGCCUCGAGCACCAUCGACACCUUGGUACUUGGAUGUGCGGGAACCUUGGACACCAUCGGGAACCUAGGCCCUUGGUUGUACAAGAGCCUCGAGCACCAUCGGCACCUAGGCGCUUGAAUGUGCGGGAGCCUCGAGCACCAUCGGCAACUUGGUGCUUGUAUGUGUGGGAGCCUCGAGCACCAUCGGCACCUUAGUGGCUCGGAUGUACGGGAGCCUCAGACACCAUCAACAACCUUGGUGCUUAUGUACGGGAGCCUCGGACACCAUCGGCAAACUAGGCCCUUGGUCGUGCGGGAGCCUCAGGCACCAUCGGCAUCCUAGGCCCUUGGUCGUGCGAGAGCCUUGGGCACCAUCAGCACCUAGGUGCUCGGAUGUGUAGGAGCCUCAGACACCAUCGGUAAACUAGGCCCUUGGUCGCGCGAGAGCCUCGGGCACCAUCGACAAAAUAGGCCCUUGGUCGUGCGAGAGCCUCAGGCACCACCGGCACCUUGGUGGCUCGGAUGUGCGGGAGCCUCGGACACCAUUGACAACCUUGGUGUUUGGAUGUGCGGCAUCCUCGAACACCAUCGGUACUGUUGGAUCGCCGGCACCCCUACGGCGCAGCGAAAAAAUUAAAAUCGGCGACCCUAACCAUGGAUCCAUGUGUGAGGAACGAAUCGGGGUGAUCAAGGUUACGAAUUUACCUAAUGUUUAUUUAGAGUAGACAGCAACACCUCAACAACAAGUAGUCUGAUCUGCUGUCGAACCAAAACCGCAAUCUAUCGUGAUCCUGGUCUCUACGUAAUCCACCCAGUUAACUACGAACGGAAGGAAUCCCCAAAACAAUUUUGAGAGUUAUUUUUCUUAUGCGGCUGCUAGACUCAAACAAAGAAAAACGUGAUUAUUUAUAUCCUUUUGUUUUUUAGGGUUUUUAAGAAUUAAAUAAAUAUGAUAAUAUUUUAAACCGAAAAUUAUAAUUACAUUACUUAUAAUAUAAGUUCGGUAAACCAUAUAUUUAUUUGAAUUCUUAUGCUAACCAAAUUCAUGUCCUCACUAUACGUACAACAACCUUGUACAUAAUGUGUUGGAAAUUUGAUUACCGAAUUAAAUUAAUUCUAUAAUUAAUUUAAUUCAAGCGACCCCAAAAACAAUACCAACUAUGGUAUAUUCCGUUCAUUUCAACUAUAGGGUGUGACCCUGUAGGUUCUUGUAACGUUAGCAGUAACACUAGAACGAUUCUAAUGCUACGAACAAUGAGUGGCAUCUAGCAAUGCAUCAUUCCUACCUAAGUCACAAGAGAUCAUGAUUCGACAUAACCUUUUUAUGAUUAACCUUUUAUGCAAUAAUCCUUAAGUCCUUUAUCUCUGGAUUAGACACAAGUCAUGGAAUAGUCACACUUGCAUUGUCUAUUCCAUGUUCCUUGAUCUCUUAAGCAGACUACGAUAUACAAAUAAGUAUGACAUCUAAUAUCAACUUAUUUGAGCAUGGCCAUGCAUUUCUAGUCUUACUUAAUCAAGUGCCCUAAGAUAUUACUCCCAUUAUGUAGGAGGGACUUAUCCUAUAUCGACCAACCAUAUCCCUCUACAUAGAUUGUGGUAUAUCCAACAUCAGUCUUUAUAGAACAACUAGUUACGGUGUACGUUUGACUGUAUCAAAAUAUACAACUCACGAUGUUGGGAUUAUGAUGAUCUCAAGUCUGAGGAUCAUAUAAAUAUUAAUCUUUAUGAGUAAUGUCGUGACAAUUACAUAAUAAUCCAAGAAACAUACUCAUAACGGGUCAGUCCAAUAUGUUGUUCUCUAACACACAUAUUCAUGUAAUGAUUCUGACAUUCCAUAUCAAUGACAACUCUUUAUCAUCAAUCAACUACACGUUAGUCUUAAUGCAUUAUCGUUGUCCUAGCCGACAAUAAUACUUGACUAAGGAACUUUUAAGAAUAAUCAUAUUAUUCUCAGGACAUUAUUAUAAAACAGUUUAUUUAUAUACACAGAAAAGAAACUGAAAUAAUAAUGGUAACGCCUUAUAUUAAUAAACAUGAUAAAUCAAGUAUGUUAUUACAACCAUCUCAUGAUUGAUCUUUGGGCAUACUCUAACAAUCUCCCACUAGCACUAAGACCAAUCACUUAUAUAUCUAAUACCAAGUGACUUAGUGUGACGAUCAUACUUCUGCUGUGUCAGAGGCUUGGUCAAGGGAUCAGCAAUGUUAUCAUCUGUAGGUACUCUGCAUAUCUCUACAUCCCCUCGAUCGAUAAUCUCUCGAAUAAGAUGGUAGCGCCUAAGUAUAUGUUUGGAUCGCUGGUGAGAUCUAGGUUCUUUAGCUUGUGCAAUGGCUCCAUUGUUAUCACAUCGGAGUUCUAUAGCAUCUGAUAUGCUAGGCACAACUCCUAGUUCGUUAAUGAACUUUUUGAUCCAAACCGCUUCUUUUGCUGCCUCACUGGCUGCAAUAUACUCGGCCUCUGUUGUAGAAUCGGCUACUGUACUUUGCUUUGAACUCUUCCAGCUCACAGCACCACCAUUAAGGCAAAACACAAAACCUGAUUGUGAUCGAGAAUCGUCCUUAUCGGUUUGGAAGCUAGCAUCAGUGUAACCUUUUACACUUAAUUCUUCCUCACCUCCAUAUAGUAGGAAAACAUCCUUAGUUCUUCUCAAGUACUUAAGGAUAUUCUUGACUGUGGUCCAGUGACCUUCACCGGGAUCUACUUGGUAUCUGCUCGUCAUGCUUAAGGCAUAUGAGACAUCUGGACGGGUACAUAACAUGGCAUACAUGAUAGAUCCAAUAGCGGAAGCAUAUGGAAUUUUACUCAUUCGUUCUCUCUCCUGUGGAGUUGAAGGACACAUUUCCUUCGAGAGUGAAAUACCAUGUCUCAUAGGUAGGAAUCCUCUCUUAGAUUCUUCCAUACUGAACCUUUUCAGUACUUUGUCUAUGUAUGUACUUUGGGCUUAGACCUAGUAGUCGUCUUGAUCUAUCUCUAUAGAUCUUUACUCCUAAUAUGUAAGUUGCUUCGCCUAAGUCCUUCAUAGAAAAACAACUUCCUAACCAAGUCUUAAUAGACUGCAAGGUAGGUAUGUCAUUUCCUAUGAUAAGUAUGUCAUCCACAUACAGUACCAAGAAUGUUAUAGUGCUCCCACUAACUUUCUUGUAAACACAUGGCUCAUCUUCAUUUUUGAUAAAACCAAACUCUUUAAUUGCAUCAUUAAAACAAAGAUUCCAACUUCGAGAAGCUUGCUUUAAUCCAUAAAUGGAUCUUUGCAGCUUACAUAUCUUUCCAGCAUCCUUUGGAUUGACAAAACCUUCAGGUUGUGUCAUGUACACAUCCUCUUCAACUUUCCCGUUAAGGAAAGCUGUUUUGACGUCCAUCUGCCAGAUUUCAUAGUCAUGAAAUGCAGCUAUAGCUAGCAAGAUCUUGAUGGAUUUAAACAUAGCUAUAGGAGAAAAGGUUUCAUCAUAGUCAACACCAUGAACUUGGCGAAAACCUUUAGCGACUAAUCUCCCCUUGUAUGUUUGUACAUUACCAUCCAUGUUGGUUUUCUUUUUGAAAACCCACUUGCACCCUAUGGGCUUAACCCCUUCGGGUGGGUCAACCAAAGUCCAUACUUGGUUUUCAUACAUGGAAUCCAUCUCAGAUCUCAUGGCUUCAAGCCAUUUCUCAGAGUCUGGGCUCGUCACCGAUUCUUGAUAAGUCCUGGGCUCAUCUUGAUCUAUCAGUAGAACGUCACCAUGCGUUGUAACGAGAAAUCCAUAUCUCUCAGGUGCUUGGUGUUCCCUUAAAGAUCUACGCAGUGGUUGUGUUUCUACAGCAAUUACUUGUUCCUCAACCCCUUGUGGAACUUGCUGUUGUUCUAUCUCUGGUUCAGUGGUAUUUUGCGAUUCUCGAACUUCAUCAAGUUCAAUCUUUUUCCCACUUCCUUUUCUAGAAACAAAUUCUCUCUCUAGGAAGACACCAGUCCGAGCAACAAGUACUUUGUUCUCAGUGGGAUUAAAGAAAUAAUAUCCUUUGGUUUCUUUUGGAUACCCCACAAAAAUACAUUUUUCAGAUUUGGGUUCAAGCUUAGUAGACGUCUGACGUUUAACAUAAGCUUCGCAACCCCAAAUUUUCAUAAAAGACAUACUGGGACGUUUCCCAGUCCAUAUCUCAUAUGGUGUCUUUUGAACCGAUUUAGAUGGAACACGAUUUAGUGUGAAAGUAGUUGUCUCAAGUGCAUGUCCCCAAAAGGAAGUCGGUAGAUCAACAUGACUCAUCAUGGAUCGAACCAUGUCUAACAAAGUUCGAUUUCUUCUUUCAGAAACUCCAUUCCAUUGAGGAGUACCAGGAGGAGUAAGUUGUGAGACAAUCCCACAUUGCUUCAAAAGAUCAUCAAACUCUAAGCUCAUAUACUCCCCACCUCGAUCAGAUCGAAGUGUCUUGAUAGUUUUUCCUAGUUGAUUUUGUACUUCAUUUUUGAAUUCCUUGAACUUUUCAGGGGAUUCAGACUUAUGGCGCAUGAGAUAGACAUACCCAUAUCUACUGAAAUCAUCAGUGAAAGUGAUGAAGUAAUGAAAUCCUCCUCUAGCCUGUAUAUUUAUUGGCCCACAUACAUCAGAAUGUAUUAGGCCCAAUAAAUCACUAGCUCGUUCACUUUUACCAGUAAAAGGAGACUUAGUCAUUUUUCCCAAUAAGCAAGAUUCACACACUUCAAAUUGUUCAAAAACAAACGAAUCCAAGAAACCAUCUUUAUGGAGCUUGGAUAUGCGUUCCUCACUUAUGUGGCCCAAACGACAAUGCCAUAGAUAAGUUUGAUUUGAGUCAUUUAUUUUUGAUCUUUUAGUAUUUAUGUUGUAGAUGGGAUUCAUUUGAUCUAAAACAUAGAGGCCAUUAUUCAAUUGUGCCGAACCAUAGAAAACAUUAUUAAGAUAAAAGGAACAACAAUUAUUCUUAAUAAUUAUCUCAAAACGAACUUUGUCUAAACAAGAAAUUGAAAUAAUGUUUUUAGUCAAACUGGGCACAUAAUAACAAUCCUCUAAACAUAAACCAAGUCCACUAGGCAAAGAUAAAUUAUAUGUUCCCACAGCUAAUGCAACAACUUUUGCUCCAUUUCCAACUCGUAGGUCCACAUCUCCUCUAGCCAAAGUCUUACUCCUUUGCAGUCCCUGUUCAGAAGUACAAAUGUGAGAACCACAACCAGUAUCUAAUACCCAUGAAGUAGUAGUUGAUAAAUUAAUAUCAAUAACAUAAAUACCUGAAGCAGACGUUCCGUUUAUUUUGGCCUUCUUGACUUCCUCAAGAUAGAUAGGGCAGUUUCGCUUCCAAUGUCCAGUCACACCACAAUGAAAACAGUUUCCUUCCUUAGCCACCCCUCCUUUAGGUUUCAAUGCAGCCGUAACUUUUCCAGGCUUGGGCCUACCUUUGCCCUUGGGCUUUGUCUGAACUUUGGCCUUUCCCUUGCCCUUAUUAUUAGGGACCAUCAGUAUAGGCUUGGGUCCAACCUUUUUCAUGUUGCCUUCAGCAGUUCGUAACAUACUGAGUAACUGUGGCAGAGUCUUAUCAAUUUCAUUCAUAUUGAAAUUGAGGACAAACUGACUGUAGCUAUCUGGCAACGAUUGCAGAAUAACAUCAGUGGCCAACUCUUGGCUCAAUGGAAACCCAAGCUUAGACAGGCUUUCAAUAUAGCCAAUCAUCUUAAGGACAUGAGGUCCUACUGGGCUUCCUUCAGCUAGCUUACAUUGGAAUAGGGCCUUAGAGAUAUCGAACCUCUCUUGCCGUGCUUGCCCCUGAUAAAGUUCUUUUAGGUGCUCAAUCAUUUCAUAAGCAACCAUGUCCUCAUGUUGCUUCUGAAGCUCAGGAUUCAUAGUGGCGAGCAUAAGACAUCCAACGUCUACCAUGUCAUCGAGAUGCUUCCUGUAAGCGUCUCUAUCAGCCCUCGAGGCAUUAGUGGGUGGCUCGUUAGGAACUGGUUGUUCAAUGACAUAUAAUUUCCGUUCUUGUUUGAGGACAAUCCUCAAGUUACGGAACCAGUCAAGAAAAUUUAAUCCAUUCAACUUGUCCUUCUCAAGGACCGAUCGCAAUGAUAGUGUAUUUGUGUUUGCAGCCAUAAUAUAUCUACAACAAUGAAAUUAUGCGUGUGAAAAUUUAUCAAAUUUAUGUUAAUCAUUAAAAGGACUUAAUUAAAUGAUGUUCCCACUAUUUUACUACAAAACUAAUACCCUCAUACGUUAGUUUCGGAAAGGCUUUCUCGAAAAGCAUUUCAAGUGGGUUAAGGAUCCAUAUUUCACCUCCUCUUAAGUCAGCUUUGGCUUUACUCUCAAGAUUAUGGUUAUCUAGGUAAGCAACACUUGCUAAUUACAUCAUAUGUAACUCGUAAAGUUUGGUGAACAACUCUUGUUCUAAUCAUCUUAUGAUUUAUCCAAAUUACUUGCCUCUAGGUUUCUAAUCCUAUUAGAAUAACCUAGUCAAGUCAUUAACCAAUUUUAACCUGCGAAUAUCACUUGUUUAUUCUUCGCAUUUAACCAAGAUAAAUACUAGUACUUCGCUUUAGCAGAACCUACACAGUAUUGAUCGAGGCCUUAACGAGGGCAAAAUUGGAAGGCUAUGUUGACUUAAUAUUUUAAUAGAGGGAUUUUAUUAAGAUCGUUUCAUCUCACCAAUUAUGGUUUACUAUAGUCCAUUUAGCCAUUUAAUUGAUCUCAUCAAUUCAUGUGGUUUAUUAUUAUCAAAUUUUAACAUGUUUAAAAUUUGGCAUGCUUUAGACAUCCAUAGCAUCUCAUACAUGAAUAAAGCAAUAAAUAAAUGCAAUAAUUAUAGCCCAUAAACUAAGGUGGCGCAACCCAAGCCAAUGGGAGAACCAAAAGGAAACCUAAAGGUGUAAGCCGGUUUUCAAGCUAUCAGUCCACACUGGUUGGCCCAUCUUCCAUCUCGGCUAGCCCACAGCAACUCUUGCAAAUUACAAUAUGUAGAAACUCAUUUUACAUACGAGGGAGUAAGAUGAGAAGAGAAAUACAAGAGAAUAGUAGCAAGGCACGACACGCAGGCCGUAUUUAUAAAAUUACAACCUUUUUAUCAAAUGGGCUGUUGGGCUAUAACUAUGCAUUUCAAACACCGUGCAUGUCAAAAAUAGCAUACACAAAUAAAAACUUUUGUUAAGGUGUAUUAAAACAUAUCCUUUCAACUUUAUGGCCCACCAAGUUUUAUUUAUUAUAUAUUAAAAAAAUACUUUAAGAGGAUGGGGGCUGAGGUGGUGAAGGGAGCGGGCCGAAGCCCCCACAGUACGAACCGCAUACCCCAUUCAAGUAAAACCUCACGAUUUGAUAACUUUUACCAACAUAAUCGUGUUUUCAGGAUUUUAAUCCCUAAGGUUUCAUGCCGGAACAACCCUUGUUCCACUAACCAGUUAACUUUUACUGGAAACUGUCAACACCACCGUCGCACCAUUAUAGAUCUGUUAACACUUAACUGUAAUAACAUAAAACCAAAUAGGCCAUAACAUCAUGAUUAACAUUUAAUCCAUUGUCAAAAGGAACGAUUAUCAGGUUACUAUUAAACGAUUUAAACAGUCGAAAUUUACUAAAAUUAAAGCAUGCAUCUCAUACAAUUGCAUCACCCAAGUAUUUAAACCCGAGUCCGUAUCACACAAGUGGCUCUGACACAACUGUUGGAUCGCCGGCACCCCUACAGCGCAGCGGAAAAAUUAAAAUCGGCGACCCUAACCAUGGAUCCAUGUGUGAGGAACGAAUCGGGGUGAUCAAGGUUACGAAUUUACCUAAUGUUUAUUCAAAGUAGACAGCAACACCUCAACAACAAGUAGUCUGAUCUGCUGUCGAACCAAAACCGCAAUCUAUCGUGAUCACGGUCUCUACGUAAUCCACCCAGUUGACUACGAACGGAAGGAAUCCCCAAAAAAAUUUUGAGAGUUAUUUUUCUUAUGCGGCUGCUAGACUCAAACAAAGAAAAACGUGAUUAUUUAUAUCCUUUUGUUUUUUAGGGUUUUUAAGAAUUAAAUAAAUAUGAUAAUAUUUUAAACCAAAAAUUAUAAUUACAUUAAUUAUAAUAUAAGUUCGGUAAACCAUAUAUUUAUUUGAAUUCUUAUGCUAACCAAAUUCAUGUCCUCACUAUACGUACAACAAACUUGUACAUAAUGUGUUGGAAAUUUGAUUACCGAAUUAAAUUAAUUCUAUAAUUAAUUUAAUUCAAGCGACCCCAAAAACAAUACCAACUAUGGUAUAUUCCGUUCAUUUCAACUAUAGGGNNNNNNNNNNNNNNNNNNNNNNNNNNNNNNNNNNNNNNNNNNNNNNNNNNNNNNNNNNNNNNNNNNNNNNNNNNNNNNNNNNNNNNNNNNNNNNNNNNNNNNNNNNNNNNNNNNNNNNNNNNNNNNNNNNNNNNNNNNNNNNNNNNNNNNNNNNNNNNNNNNNNNNNNNNNNNNNNNNNNNNNNNNNNNNNNNNNNNNNNNNNNNNNNNNNNNNNNNNNNNNNNNNNNNNNNNNNNNNNNNNNNNNNNNNNNNNNNNNNNNNNNNNNNNNNNNNNNNNNNNNNNNNNNNNNNNNNNNNNNNNNNNNNNNNNNNNNNNNNNNNNNNNNNNNNNNNNNNNNNNNNNNNNNNNNNNNNNNNNNNNNNNNNNNNNNNNNNNNNNNNNNNNNNNNNNNNNNNNNNNNNNNNNNNNNNNNNNNNNNNNNNNNNNNNNNNNNNNNNNNNNNNNNNNNNNNNNNNNNNNNNNNNNNNNNNAACUCACGAUGUUGGGAUUAUGAUGAUCUCAAGUCUGAGGAUACAUAUAAAUAUUAAUCAUUAUGAGUAAUGUCGUGACAAUUACAUAAUAAUCCAAGAAACAUACUCAUAACGGGUCAGUCCAAUAUGUUGUUCUCUAACACACAUAUUCAUGUAAUGAUUCUGACAUUCCAUAUCAAUGACAACUCUUUAUCAUCAAUCAACUACACGUUAGUCUUAAUGCAUUAUCGUUGUCCUAUCCAACAAUAAUACUUGACUAAGGAACUUUUAAGAAUAAUCAUAUUAUUCUCAGGACAUUAUUAUAAAACAGUUUAUUUAUAUACACAGAAAAGAAACUGAAAUAAUAAUGGUAACGCCUUAUAUUAAUAAACAUGAUAAAUCAAGUAUGUUAUUACAACCAUCUCAUGAUUGAUCUUUGGGCAUACUCUAACAGGUACCUUGGUGCCUGGGAUGUGCGGGAUAAAGAAAACUGUCCCCGUUUUAGACAGAUGAAUGUUUCCUGGUAGCGGGGUUUCCAACCCCAUGACAGUUCCAAAAAAAAAUUUUCAUUGCUCAUGGAGGGCUGGUCACCAGCCACCGCCUUCAAAGGUGAAGCAGAGUCUAAAAGUUUCCUCUUAACAAGCCUGGCCAGGCUGUCAUCCGUGUUCUCUCCAUUAGGACCCCUCUGUCUUUUUCGUUUGCUUUUAAAUCUACCCAUUCCAUCCCUCAUAGCCUGAUGGUACUUCUUUUCCAGAGGAGAGUUGGAUAUGGAGCCCUCUUCUCCACCCUUUUCUUUCCCUUUAUGCGCAGUUUGUUCACUUCCACCCCCCGAGUUUGUGGGACUCUCGUCUUUUUCCACGCUCAUUUUGGUUUUAGCCAUAAAUAACUCUACUCCAUUUCUUCUCAUCCCUCUGUCCAGGUUUUGGGUCCCGGUGGGUGCCCUCAUCCAGCUGCCAUACUGAGGGCUUUGGCCAUUCAACCCAUCAUCCUCCUUGAAAAGAGAGCACUUUUUAGCCGUAUAUCCUAUAAUUUCGCACUCGUAGCAAAAGUCUGGGAGUCUCUCAUACUUUAGCAUCCCUAUCAUUUCUACACCAUCCUUAUCAACCAGCUUCACGAUCCUUCUCAACAGUUUUAACACAUUGAUCUUGAUUUUGAGUCUCAUGAACUCCGUCCACCCUCCAUUCCGAUCCUUCCAGUCAAUUGCUACCAGCUCUCCUAUAGCAUUGCCAAUAUCCAGGGCCAUCCGACGAUCCAUCAGUUCAAUAGGGAUAUUAUAAACCCUCAACCAAAAUGGUGACAUCCAAAACUCAUACGAGUCAAUUUCUUUUCCUUUUUCAAAUGGUACCAUGGAGAAAAGGUAUCGAUCAAAUAGCCAGGGCGAAAGGUUAAGGAUGCGGCUCCGGUCAUCUAUGCAUCCAAAUUUAACAAUGACAGGCCCCUCUUUUAGCGCUACAAAAUCCACCUCCUCUUUUGUAAACCAAAGCGAUUUGAAGACCCUAUACAUCGCCUCCUUGUUCAGCGGAUCGAUCGCCAUGAUUUUGCCAAUCGCCCAUGACUCAAAGCCUUGGGCAUUGAUACCUUCACUUGUACUAACAACCUGAGUGGUCUCUUCUUCUGAGAAUUUUAGCUUCUCCAGAAGUUCAUUGACCUCAUCUGUCAUUGUUCUCACGUCAGUAUCCUAUCUUUCUUCCAUUUGUUGCCCAACAGAUACCUAGCAAUAUAACCAUGAGACCAGAAAGAAGCAGAAACCGGACGCAAUCAAAAAUUAGAACGCGAGAAGACGCAGGCGACGGCCCAAAAGCACAUUCAAAACGCCAGAAACCCAGAAAAAAAAACCCCACACCAUUGUAAAAAUGAAGGGCCAGAGAACAGACAAGACCAAGAAGCCAGUCGAGACACAAAUAAACAAGAACCAGAGAAAACUUAAAAAAAUAAGAAAGAAAAGGACUCAAACAGAUCCCCACAAGAAAAUUUGCAACAAAACAAAGAGACCCAAACACAACAACACGAACUUUUUAGACAGGGAGAAGACAUGCAACCCAUAGAAAGAAAAAAAAACCUUCAAAAUCAUGCAAAAACAAAAACCAAGAAAUGUACGGAAACAAAAAAGUCAAAGCUUAAGUCAUAAACCUCCGUGUGAGCCACGAAAGUAAUCAGUCACAACCCACGUCAAAACCAUGAAAAACCAUACAAGAAACACAACACCACUUACGUAAAAAAACCCCAAACAAACAACAGAGAGGGAGAAAAUGGAGGAAAAGUUAAAAAAGACAACAAAGAAACAAAAAAGAUACGCCAGACGGGCCCUGCCCACGAUCUCUUUGUUCAGUGGUCAAAACCCUCUGCCACCAAGAUCACGAGAAAAACACCACAAGAAGCCAAUUGGCUAGCCCCGAACGUGAGCACGUCAAACGACAAGACGCGCAAAACAUCUUGUCCCACAAUCAAUCACCGCCUCGAAACAAUUACAGUCAACUCAGGCGCACCAUCAACAGAAACAGGAAAAAAACAAAUCAUAAGAUAACAACACAAAAUCGAAAAGAUAACAGCAACACGAGAAAGAAAAAACAACACAAUCAAACCCCCUUUACUACCAUAAUAUUCAAGACGAAUAAGGCAGACACACUCUCAAAAAAAUAAGAAACGAAAUCAUCCAAAUCUUGGAGAAAAAUCAGAAAAUGUGCGCGCACUGAUAAGGAUGUUAUUUUUCUUUGUGAAACAAAAAUUCAUUCUAAUGCGUUUCCUCAUAUUCGUUCGGCAUGCAGGAUGUAGGGGUGUCUUACUGUUAGCUCGGAGGGGAAGAGUGGCGGUUUGGCCCUAAUGUCGAGGGAAGGUGUAAGGGUUACAGUGCAGAAUUACUCCAAAUAUCACAUUGACGCCUUUGUCAGCAUUGCGGAUGGUGAGACUCUUAGGUUCACGGGUUUCUAUGGUCAAGCUAAUCCGCGCUUAAGACAAAAUGCUUGUGAUAUGUUGAGAAGGGUUAAGAGCAGAAACAAUGAAAAAUGGAUUGUGGGAGGGGAUUUUAACGAUAUCUUGAACAAUGCUGAAAAGGAAGGUGGCCGUAGAAAACAAAAAACCCUUAUGGAUGAGUUCGCGAACCUCCUUGAUGAGUUGAACCUGUUCGAUGUGAAAACCUGUAAUGGGUGGUAUACGUGGACUAAUAAUAGGGAGGGCAAUGGCUUGGUGAAGGAGAGGUUGGACAGAUUCAUCGUUUCUGAUGCGGUUAUAGAAAACCCAUUUCUUAUCUCUUAUGUUAUGAGACAAUCAAAAUCUGAUCAUGAGGCUAUCCUGUUGGACACGGACGGGAGCAAGCCCAAGGAUAUGAGUCUGGGCUAAAGGGCGUGGUUUCGUUACGACCAGUGUUGGGCUAAGGAGAAGGGUGCUAGGGACAUUAUUCAUGGGAUUUGGUCGAACAGAUAGAGGAACACGUUGGAGAAGAUGGAGUCUGUUAGGGUUAAACUGGGUCCAUGGCAAUACCACCGUUAUAGAAAUAUGAAGACUAGGAUGAAAGAGUCGGAGAAGGAGAUCAGCAGGUUAAUGGACGGGCCCUCAAGUGAUCAGUCGACUAGUCUCCUGAGAGAGGUUAGAAGGAAGUUGGGCCAUCUUUAUGAUGUGGAGGAAAGAUAUGAGGCUACUAGGGCGCAUUCCAAGUGGCCUAAAGACAGGGACAAAAAUACCCAUUAUUUUCAUGUUCGUGCCUCUGGCCGUAGAAAGAAAAAUUACAUUGAGAGGUUGAAAGAUGUGCAUGGAAACUGGUAUAAGGACAAGAAGGAGAUUUGCCAUAUUGCUUGGAAAUAUUUUAAUGAUCUUUUUAAGACUUCGAUUAAUAUGGACGAUGAGUGUGAUCUUCAGGCCGAUCCUGAGUGUAUUAAUGAUGAGAUUAAUAGAAAGUUGAACAGGGAGUUCACAAAUGAGGAGAUCCUGAGAGCUUUCAACCAGAUGGACCCUUGCAAGGCUCCGGGCAUUGAUGGUUUGUCGGGGAGUUUUUUCAAGGAUCACUGGCCGAGUGUGGGGGCUGAUGUUCUUCUUUUAUGUCACGAAAUCCUGCACGGCAAUAGAAGUGCUACGUGAGUAAACGAGACGCUUAUUGUGUUGAUCCCAAAGAUUAAGAAUCCUUGCGAGAUGGUGAAUUUCCAUCCUAUAAGUCUAUGUAGGGUAGUUUACAAGAUCGUGGCUAAAACCCUGGCUAAUCGGCUUAAGGAGGCUCUUCACUUGUGUAUUAGUCACAAUCAAAGCGCCUUUGUUCCCAACAGAAUGAUCCAUGACAAUGUCUUAGUAGACCACGAGCUUAUGCACUACCUUUGCAGUUCCAAAAAUGGUCCGAAUAAGGGCUGUGUGGUUAAGCUCGACAUGAGCAAGGCUUACGACAGGGUCGAGUGGCGGUUCCUGGAAAAAGUUUUGUUAAAAAUGGGUUUCUCUAAUGCUUGGAUUCUUAAAAUUAUGGAUUGUGUCUGCUCUAUUCGGUAUAGAGUCAAAUGUAAUACAACUCUGUCUGAUGUUAUUUCUCCAGGGAGGGGGCUUCGCCAGGGGGACCCAUUAUCCCCUAUUUGCUUUUGUUUUGCAUGGAUGCCUUCUCCCGUAUGCUUAUACAUGCUCAAGGUCUUAAUAAGUUGAAGGGUAUUAGGGCUAGUAAGGAUGGCCCGAGAAUUAAUCAUCUCUUUUUUGCUGACGAUGCUCUUUUAUUUGUUAGGAAUAAGAAGCGAGGUGGAAGAGUUCACAAGGAUCCUGGAGGCGUUCGAGAGGAUGUCUGUUCAAUGGAUCAACUUGGACAAGUCCAUGGUUUAUUUUAGCCUGAGUACAAACGCUGCGAGCCGUGCUAUGAUUGGGGGUGUGCUCAAGAUGAAGGUUGUGACUCAAUUCGAUGGUUACCUAGGGCUGCCUCUUCCGAUGGGGAAUAAAAAGUCUAUUGCUUUUAAAAGAAUUAUUGAUCGGGUCGCGAAUAAGACCUCCAGCUGGUCCAAGAGACUCUUAUCAAAUGGUGGCAAAGAGAUUUUCAUUAAAUCGAUUCUACAGUCAAUCCCUACGUACGAUUUUUAAGUCUUUUUGGUCCCUAAGGGGGUUAUGGAGGAAAUCCAAGCUAUGAUCAGUCGAGUGUGGUGGAGUGGAAAAAAUAUGAACAGAGGCUGGCAUAUGUUAGGGUGGGACAACAUGUGUUACCCUAAAGGCAUGGGUGGGCUCGGCUUUAGGGACCUUCGUCGUUUUAAUGUGGCAUUACUGGGCAGACAAGUGUGGCGCCUCAUAAGCUGCAGGGAUAAGCUUUGUUAUAAAGUUCCCAGUGCUAAGUAUUUCCUGGAGGGUGAUGUCUUGCGUCCAAAAAGGAUUGACAAGCCUUCUUUCACGUGGAAGAGCAUCGCGAAGGCGGCCAGCGUUCUACAUGAUGGUUUUGGUUGGAAUGUGGGGAACGGAAGUAAGAUUGAUUUUUGGAAUGAGAAUUGGGGUUUUGAGGGUUUAUCGGGUGACUCAAUUCACCUUCCGAGAAGAGAGGUCCAGGAGAAUAGAGUUUCCAAUCUGUUGAACGAGGAGAAAGAUGGCUGGAAUGAGAAGAGGGUGAGGGAGAUUUAUGGCGAUUUCGUGGGGGACCAAGUCUGCAAUAUCCCCACUCUUUAGGAUGGCCCGAGUGACUCUCGUAUUUGGUUCUAUAGCCCGUUCGGUAAUUUCUCCACUAAGUCUGCCUAUUCGUGGUUGACUCUUAGGCAUGUGGGGCUCGUUUCUUUUGGAAGAUGGUGUGAAAGCUGCGAAUGCUGCCAAAGAUUAGAAUUUUCUACUGGCGUAUUGGGCAUGAUAUUCUCCCCACGUAUGAAAAAAUAUCCACGAUCAGAAGAGAUUUCAACAGUGACUGUCCCAGAUGUAGAAGGGACAAAGAGACCCUUAUCCAUGCAUUGAAAGAUUGCCCUAGGGCUCGAAUGGUGUUGAUGCAUGGGGGUUUGAACAGUAAUCUGCUGGAUGGUAACCACUGUCGAGGUGUGGACUGGAUCGAAGAAGUGGCCUAGUCGCUGGAUUUUAAGGCUCUCUCGACUUUGUUACGGUCCUUUGGAAUAUUUGGAACAACAAGAAUAACAGAGUGUUUCGAAACUUGGAAGAGGAAGCUAAAGUGACGUGG